ACAUUUCUCUUUAUUCCUGAUCCUUCCAAGGUACAACACCAUGCUUGAAACAUCAUAGAGACCCCAAAAAAGCAUGGGUCUUUGCAGAGUGGAUGGAAGAAAUAAAAUUGCGAUGAGAUGCUUUAACUACUAACGAGAAAAGUGUUUUUAAGCACUUCCGUACUUCCAAGAACUUCAUAUUAUUAGUUAAAUCAAUAUUUUGAUUAUGUGUAAUACUUAGUUCAUUACAAUGAGUCUAAAAGGCUUUAUCAACCUUCUUUUGAUUAUUUUUCAUAAUUGGAAAUAAUGCAAUGUCAUCUU
rnacentral:lncRNA from 1 species